UCUAUCUGGUGGUCUUCUAAUUCGUGUUGACCUGUUCUAAUUGGCUUUCGUUUUUAAUUAUGAUUUCGAUUCCAAAGCAAGGAAAAGAUGUCCAUUUGACGUAUCCGAAGCAGUGUCUCUUUUGAUGUAUCCGAAGCAAUGUCCUAGAAAGGAAGCAUACAAAUCAUCUGUACAAUUAAAAAGCACAGACAAAGCAAUACUCUCCGGUCAACACGAAUUAGCUAUAACAAAUUCUUCAUGUUUUCUUCUCUUGGCCGCGCUUGUUCCUUUGACUCCUUCUGUUCUAAUGCUCGUUCCUGCAAAGGUUCUAGCAAGAAUGUCUUCUAUACCUUUUAUCCCUCUUCUUUCCAAUUCAUCUUGGUAUGACUUUAAUUUGGCACAGGCAGAGGCUGUCUCUAUUUUGGGCUUUUGGAAAUUUUGGCAAGCAUUUGGGACUGGCACAUUUUGGUGCCCUGUUGGAACUUGGAAAAUGAAAUUGAUUCUUGUCUGUGUGAAGUCGACAACUACAUAUAGAAUAUUUAAGGUGAGUUCUAGGCUUUCAUAUCAUUGAAUUGAUGGAAUAGCGGUUCUUAUCAACUGCGUUGGUUUGUUUUCCUGUGUUUCAUGGAGCUAUGCACGUUAGACGUUUCAGCAGGAGUUGGUGUGGAGGACUCAUUUCCUUGAUUUAGAAUAUUUAGUCGAAGUAGAGAAAAAUAUUGUUUGAUUGUCCUUGUGAAUCAUAUAGGUGCUGAUGAUGAAAUUCGAUAUGAGAAGUAAGGAUCUAAAGUCUCCAAUUGGAGAAGAAAGUGAAGAAGCAUAAAGUUAUUUCACAUUCCUAUAAAGUUUGCCUACUUCUCAACAUUGCUUCAUGAUUUGCAAAACUUAGUAUCACUUGCAGUUCAGGAAAUCAAAGAGAGGACAGUAUUAGUUUGUGCAAUCGAUACUGACUAGGGCUCAAGAUGAAACCUAUACUAAUCAAUGCUGCGGCAUAAGUUUCUUAUACAUGAACUUUAAACAAGCAAGGCUGUUUUUCCAUACAGAAUUGUUUCGAGUACUAAGGGGCUAUUGUGCUAUUUUAAUCAUGCAUUUGCUUCCAAAAAGAGAAAUGGCACCGUAGUGCAAGCCUGUGAAGAUGCUAAGACCAUGCCAACUGAAAAGGCACAAAAUCCCACCAUCGACAAUGAAAGCUAGCAAAUCCACAACUUCAAGCAAGUAUUCAGCGAGCAGUGUGCUUCAAUGAAGCUAGUGGUUGAUUUACCGCUGAAGAUGAUGAGCCCAAAGGAAUCAGAGCAUUCAAGAAUGGAGUAUGUAGACUCAGCCCUGUUGUACAGCUCCUGCUGGCUGGUCUGUGAUUGAACAAUGGCCUCACCCGUUUGGACUUGUGGUUAUCUUUGCGGCACCAGAAUGCAAAAGCACUUCAGGCCCAAGAACUUCACAGGGAUGGAAAAGAGAGAUAUCAUCAACUGUUUCCAACAACUCAGAAAAGUAAGACUCCAUCAAGAUACUUAAUAUUCCAGCAAAACUGUCAGAUAAAUAAAAAGGGAAGAAAAUGUUUUCAGGUGAAUUACUUUCAUGUGUUUUUCCUUGAGUUAAGUUGACCUUACAGCACAUGAAUGCAUGGAGUUGGAGUGAAAGCACUUAACAACGACAAAUCCACAGACAAGAGCUUUUAUCAUUUGUCCGAUUAAGAAUUACUAAGCUAAGAGCCGGCUCCCAUUGGAAAUGUCCUAAGAAAAUAAUGGAGGGUGUCCAUUUCACUAUAAAUUACAGUGUUUUUCUGAUUUCUCCUUUGAAACUGUGUUUAAUUGGAAUUGAGUUUUGCAGUUUGUUUUGAUUGCAUAGCUUAUAGGAUCUUGAGGUGUUGGGGAAAAAAUUCAUCACUCAAUUGCAUUAAAUGAAAAUUUUUUUGAUUUAAAAUAAUUGAAGCUUAGAGAAUUAGAUUUGAACAAUAAACAAAUAUUCGACCCCUUUUUCUUAAAAAA